rnacentral:rRNA from 1 species
GAUGAACGCUAGCUACAGGCUUAACACAUGCAAGUCGAGGGGAAACGAUAUUGGAAGCUUGCUUCCGAUAGGCGUCGACCGGCGCACGGGUGAGUAACGCGUAUCCAACCUGCCCACCACUUGGGGAUAACCUUGCGAAAGUAAGACUAAUACCCAAUGACGUCUCUAGAAGACAUCUGAAAGAGAUUAAAGAUUUAUCGGUGAUGGAUGGGGAUGCGUCUGAUUAGCUUGUUGGCGGGGUAACGGCCCACCAAGGCUACGAUCAGUAGGGGUUCUGAGAGGAAGGUCCCCCACAUUGGAACGGGGACACGGUCCAAACUCCUACGGGAGGCAGCAGUGAGGAAUAUUGGUCAAUGGGCGAGAGCCUGAACCAGCCAAGUAGCGUGCAGGAUGACGGCCCUAUGGGUUGUAAACUGCUUUUAUAAGGGAAUAAGGUGAGUCUCGUGAGACUUUUUGCAUGUACCUUAUGAAUAAGGACCGGCUAAUUCCGUGCCAGCCGCCGCCGUAA